rnacentral:lncRNA from 1 species
AUAAUAGAAUCGUGCAACAAGGACUCGGUUGGCCUCUUGGAGGGAAAGGGAUCUUCAGAUGAUUACCUAGUGAUGAUCAAGUCAGUAACAAAAUUGUGUUCAUGGGUCAUGCAGACCAUGCCAGGGUAUGUCAAAUACUUCCAGGAGAAAAGUGUCGCCGAGAAAUUGGAAGAAGCCUGUAACACCCAGUGUUAAUGAUAACUUAAGUAUGACAUUAAGAAGAUAAUAGUGAAGUUGGAUUAAAGGAAGGUAAGUUGAGCCAAAGUCAAAUUUGAGCCGAAUUC